rnacentral:rRNA from 1 species
AUGGGGAACUUCGCGUCCUGCACGCUGGCCAGGAUCCCCGGGGCGGCCAAGGGCGCCAGGGUCGUGCUCCCCGACGGCGGGCUCAGGCUGGUCAGGCCCCCGGCGACGGCGGCGGAGCUCAUGCUCGAGGCGCCGGGCCAUUUCCUGACCGACGCGCGCGCGCUGCAGGCCGGGCGCCGGAUCGAGGCGCUCGCGGCUGACGACGACCUCGAGCUCGGGGGCGUCUACGCCGCCUUCCCCAUGAAGCGGCUCGGCUCCAAGGCCGCGCCCGCCGACGUGGCGCGCCUGGCCGCCGUUUUCGCCAGGGAGGCUCACGCCCGGAGGCCAGCCUCGGCCAAGGUGGCGGCCAUCGUCGUGGCGCCGCCCGAGGCGGCUUCCGUUGCCGCCGAGGCGGUCAGGGCGCCGCGGUUGGAUGAGAUGGCCGUGGACGACGAGGCGGCUGCGGCGGAGAUCGGGGAGCUCAAGCAACGGAUAAGCGGCGGUCGCUUGUCGAGGCGGCGACCGACGUUGGAGACCAUACAGGAGGAGAGCUACAAAGCCGGAGCUGCCUCCGGUUGA